UACGAAGGGGGCUAGCGUUGCUCGGAAUCACUGGGCGUAAAGCGCACGUAGGCGGAUUGCUAAGUCAGGGGUGAAAUCCUGGAGCUCAACUCCAGAACUGCCUUUGAUACUGGCGAUCUCGAGUCCGGGAGAGGUGAGUGGAACUGCGAGUGUAGAGGUGAAAUUCGUAGAUAUUCGGAGGAACACCAGUGGCGAAGGCGGCUCACUGGUCCAUUACUGACGCUGAGGUGCGAAAGCGUGGGGAGCAAACAGG
rnacentral:rRNA from 1 species